UUUUAUUAGUACAAAGAGUAUAUUUAAUUUCCAAUUAAAAGGUUCUUUAGAAUAAAAUUA
rnacentral:tRNA from 1 species